UAAAUAUCAGUAAUGGUUGUGGCUUAGUUCUUCGUAUUGGAAUAAAUUUGUCACCAUUGCAAUAAACAAAUACUUAUCAGAUAAGUAGAUAAUAUUCAAAUAAAAUAAAAGAUGAAGUAUCCAUGUACAAUUAUAAAUGUUGGACUGAUUCUUUCUUUUGAUUAAUUUUUUGUUCCAUCUCCCUAGCUAUCCAUGUGCUUGUAGAAUUAAUUAAUUACUGGAAGACAGUUCUGUGGAGUAAGAUUGCAAAAGUCUGAAGUUACUGUAUCCUUGAAUGCGUCCCACUUGUAAGCAAAAAUUGAAUCACCUCCUAAUGUCAAAUAUAAGAGUAAGAUGUGUCACUACGAGUGUGACGACAGAUUGAUACAACAAACCGAGAACAGCAAACAAGAUGUUUUACCUACGUUUGCCUCUGCAAGUAUGGUUAUUGGGAUUUAUGGUCAGAUAUUGUAAACUUUUCCAAAAAAUUGACAAUCGGUCCUAAAAGGAGACAUUUUAUUUACAAUAAAAUGAAAAAUAAAAAUCAUAAAUGAAAGAUGCAAGGAUGUCAAGGAUUACAAAUUUGUGAAACAACAAGGAAAAUUAAAAGAAGAAUAGGAAGAGCAGUUUAAGUCUGACCUCAUCCAAAAUGUUGGAUGCCCCAUCAUGCUGUGAAUAUUUUUUUGGUGUUCUGUUAAAUUUACUGUAAAUAAUAUUCUAUUGUAAGAACGAUAAAAAUAUUCUAGCAAUAACUACAAUAGAGCGCUUAUACCUAAAAAUGUGAGUAUUGUCGAAUGUUUACGUAAACUUUCUUUCAAUUCUCUGUUAUGUCGUUUGCUUAUAUUGUUUGUUCUGUGUAAUUGUUUAUAUACGCAGAACGAACUGGUUUUAAAAUUGUUGAUCCAUGUUUGUAAUAAUUAAAAAAUGUUUCUAAAUAUGUACAUUUAUCAAAAAUAACUUUGGUGAUUAUAUUAAAACCUUCUUCUAUGUAUAAUUCGGGUAACAAUGCUAAAGAUAAUAAUUUUGUCGCAUUCCAUCCUAAUUCUUGUCUGUCACCCUUUAAAAUUUUAUAUAUUUUCGCAUUGCAUACUAACGUCUGUAAAAAGAAAGCAAUAUAAGGAAAAUUAAUAUGCAUUUCAUGUUUCUUAUUAUGUGCAUUGUUAUCUUUUAUUACUUGGUUAUAGUGGAAAAAGCAACCAAUGAUUUUUGUGUUGGGGAAUGCUUUUU